rnacentral:tmRNA from 1 species
GGGGAUGUUUUUGGAUUCGACAUCAUUAGAUUUAUAUGUUUGCAGUGGUCUAGUAGACCAUAAGACUAACUUAAAUUUUAAUCGGAAACGAAUUAAACAUUGAUCCUGCAGUAAUGCAGACAACACCUGUUGCCUACGCAGCUGCCUAAAUAGAGGAUCUCCAAAUCAGUAAGCUUGAUUAGUGCUUAUUGAAAUUUGGUCGAGAACUAAUCAACCCAACCUUUUAGUGAUAUUUAUUAAAAAUUCACAAACCAAAAAACUUAAACUGUAGAUAAGCUUAUGUUAUUUGAUGAUGCACCCAGGUUCAACUCCUGGCAUCUCCACCA